ensembl:lncRNA
UGUGAGAUGAGCGCAGCCAUGUUUGUUCGCGCUGCAGUUCAGAGAGUCCUGUCAGUUGAAUUUACAGCACGUGAAUUCAUCAAUCUCUCUCGAAAUACAAAUAAUAAGUGGCCGGUGAAUUGGGUGAAGAAUAGAGUGAACUUUAUAGUUACUUACACUAUGUCUACCUGAUACAAAGGUGAGGGUACUGCCCUAGUGACAAGCUGUUGUACCUCCAAAUGUACCUCGAUGGCGCCGCAGAUGGCUGCUUCAGUGCUUGGCUCUCCAGUGUUUGUACUGUUUUUGUUCGUUUUUCCUGUUUUUUGUUUGUCAAACACGAUCAUUUUCACCAGGGAUGAACUGCUGAACAUUCGGCAGAACACACCACAAAAUCUUUUACCGGAUUUCAAUUAUUCGGACGUUUUACUGAACGUUGUUGUCGGUGGAGCAGCGGCGCUGAUCAAAUGCUUCAAAAAGCGCAAACGGGGAAAGCGAGCUGAUGCGCUCAUUAGACUCAGGAAGCGCGGAUUUCGAACGCCAUUGCCUAGCAUCCAUCUGGCAAAUCUCCGCGCUCUACCCAAAAAAACGGACAAACUCCUUCUGCUUUCCCGGUCAAAUAAGGAUUUAUCACACUCUGCUGCUCUGUGUUUCACGGAAACCUGGCUCAAUGACGCCAUACCGGACCGCGCGCUCCAUCUGCCGGGCUUUCAGCUGUUCAGAUUGGACCGCGACGCAGAAUCAACGGGGAAAUCACGUGGCAGCGGGACAUGCUUUUAUAUCAAUGAACGGUGGUGCACAGAUGUAACUGUGUUAAAGAAGAUGUGCUGUUCAGAUCUAGAAGUGCUUUUUGUCAACUGCAAGCCGUUCUAUUCGCCACGGGAGUUUCACUCAUUCAUUCUGGUGAGUGUUUACAUCCCUCCGCAAGCGCACGUGAGCACAGCUUUACAGAAACUCGUUGAUCAGAUCACAGAGACAGAACAACAACACCCAGACUCUGUUUUAAUCAUUCUUGGAGACUUUAAUAAGGCAAAUCACUCCCGUGAAUUGCCAAAAUACAGACAGCACAUCACAUGUCCCACCAGAGACAGUAAUAUAUUGGAUCACUGUUACACCACAAUAAAGGAUGCAUAUCACUCUGUUCCANNNNNNNNNNNNNNNNNNNNNNNNNNNNNNNNNNNNNNNNNNNNNNNNNNNNN